rnacentral:rRNA from 1 species
AACGAACGCUGGCGGCAUGCCUAACACAUGCAAGUCGAACGAGACCUUCGGGUCUAGUGGCGCACGGGUGCGUAACGCGUGGGAAUCUGCCCUUGGGUUCGGAAUAACAGUUAGAAAUGACUGCUAAUACCGGAUAAUGUCUUCGGACCAAAGAUUUAUCGCCCAGGGAUGAGCCCGCGUAGGAUUAGCUAGUUGGUGAGGUAAAGGCUCACCAAGGCGACGAUCCUUAGCUGGUCUGAGAGGAUGAUCAGCCACACUGGGACUGAGACACGGCCCAGACUCCUACGGGAGGCAGCAGUGGGGAAUAUUGGACAAUGGGCGAAAGCCUGAUCCAGCAAUGCCGCGUGAGUGAUGAAGGCCUUAGGGUUGUAAAGCUCUUUUACCCGGGAUGAUAAUGACAGUACCGGGAGAAUAAGCCCGGCUAACUCCGUGCCAGCAGCCGCGGUAAU